rnacentral:rRNA from 1 species
UACGUGGGGUGCAAGCGUUGUCCGGAUUUAUUGGGCGUAAAGAGCUCGUAGGCGGCUUAGAAAGUCAGGUGUGAAACCUCCAGCUCAACCUGGAGACGCCACUUGAUACUUCUAUGGCUUGAGUUCGGUAGGGGACCAUGGAAUUCCUGGUGUAGCGGUGAAAUGCGCAGAUAUCAGGAGGAACACCGAUGGCGAAGGCAGUGGUCUGGGCCGAUACUGACGCUGAGGAGCGAAAGCGUGGGGAGCGAACAGG